UACGUAGGGUGCGAGCGUUGUCCGGAUUUAUUGGGCGUAAAGGGCUCGUAGGCGGCUUGUCGCGUCGGGAGUGAAAGCCCGCUGCUUAACGGCGGGUUUGCUUUCGGUACGGGCAGGCUGGAGUACGGCAGGGGAGACUGGAAUUCCUGGUGUAGCGGUGGAAUGCGCAGAUAUCAGGAGGAACACCGGUGGCGAAGGCGGCAUCCUGGACCGGCAUUGACGCUGAGUGAGCGAAAGCCAGGGGAGCAAACGGG
rnacentral:rRNA from 1 species